rnacentral:tRNA from 1 species
GCUCGGGUGGUGAAAUGGUAGACACAAGAGACUUAAAAUCUCUUGGGAGCAAUCCCGUGCCGGUUCGAGUCCGGCCUCGAGCA